rnacentral:rRNA from 1 species
GAGUUUGAUCGUGGCUCAGGACGAACGCUGGCGGCAUGCUUAACACAUGCAAGUGGAGCGACGAACCAGGCUUCGGCCUGGGGCAAAGCCGCGAACGGGUGAGUAACACGUGGGUAACCUGCCUCGAUGACCGGGACAACCCGAGGAAACUCGGGCUAAUACCGGAUGUGCCCACACCACAUCAGUGGUGUGAGUAAAGAUAGCUUCGGCCUUCGCAUCGAGAUGGGCCCGCGGCGCAUUAGCUUGUUGGUGGGUAACGGCCUACCAAGGCGACGAUGCGUAGCUGGUCUGAGAGGACGAUCAGCCACACUGGGACUGAGACACGGCCCACGGACUCCUACGGUAGGCAGCAGUGGGGAAUCUUGCGCAAUGCGCGAAAGCGUGACGCAGCAAUGCCGCGUAGGGGAAGAA